GAUCAUUCUACAAUGUAGGAAAUCUUCUACACUAUGUCAGGACCCUUCUCCACUAUGUCAGGACCCUUUUACACUAUGUCAGGAUCAUUCUACAAUUAGGAAAUCUUCUACACUAUGUCAGGACCCUUCUCCACUAUGUCAGUACCCUUCUCCACUAUGUCAGGACCCUUCUAAUCUAUGUCAGGACCCUUCUACACUAUGUCAGGACCCUUCUACACUUUAGGAAAUCUUCUACACUAGAAGAGAAAGAGAAAGAGGAAACAGAGAGGAGGAAAGAGAGAGAGAACGAGAGGAGGAGAGAGAGAGAGAGCGAGAGAGAGAGAAAGAGAGAAAGAAACUGAGAGAGGAGGAGAGAGAGGUGAGGCAAUGAAGGAUAGAGGAGUGAGAGGAAGAUUGUGCCAGAACUCAGUGAGUGCAGCUAAAUCUCUCAGAGCUCAGUCAAUAAAACAGAGGGCUCUUAGAAAACAAACCCUUCUCCACUAUGUCAGGACCCUUCUAUGCUAUGUCAGGACCCUUCUACACUAUGUCAGGACCCUUCUAAUCUAUGUCAGGACCCUUCUACACUAUGUCUGGACCCUUCUACGCUGUAGGAAACGUUCUACACUAUGUCAGGAGCCUUCUCUACUAUGUCAGGACCCUUCUCCACUAUGUCAGGACCCUUCUACGCUAUGUCAGGACCCUUCUACACUAUGUCAGGACCCUUCUACACUUUAGGAAAUCUUCUACACUAGAAGAGAAAGAGAAAGAGGAAACAGAGAGGAGGAAAGAGAGAGAGAACGAGAGGAGGAGAGAGAGAGCGAGAGAGAGAGAAAGAGAAAGAAACUGAGAGAGGAGGAGAGAGAGAGAGAGAGAGAGAGAGAGAGAGAGAGAGAUAGAAGGAAACAGAGAGAGGAGGAGAGAGAGAGAAAGAGAGAGAGAGAGGGGAGACAAGGAAGGAUAGAGGAGUGAGAGGAAGAUUGUGCCAGAACUCAGUGAGUGCAGCUAAAUCUCUCAGAGCUCAGUCAAUAAAACAGAGGGCUCUUAGAAAACAAACCCUUCUCCACUAUGUCAAGACCCUUCUACACUAUGUCAGGACCCUUCUACACUAUGUCAGGACCCUUUUACACUAUGUCAGGACACUUCUACACUAUGUCAGGACCCUUCUACACUAUGUCAGGACCCUUCUACACUAUGUCAGGACCCUUCUACACUAUGUCAGGACCCUUCUACACUAUGUCAGGACCCUUCUACACUGUCAUAACCCUUUUCCACUAUGUCAGGACCAUUUUACACUAUGUCAGGACCCUUCUACACUGUAGGAACCCUUCUACACUAUGUCAAGACACUUCUACACUAUGUCAGGUCAAUUCUACACUAUGUCAGGACCCUUCUACACUAUGUCAGGACCCUUUUACACUAUGUCAGGACCCUUCUAC
rnacentral:lncRNA from 1 species